rnacentral:misc_RNA from 1 species
AGGAGCCAUUCCUUCCACAAAUCUACAGAAACAAUGUAAAUAAAAUAAAUUAGCAUCCCCCUUGCACUCAUACAAGAAUAAUAUAGAAUAUCCUGCAAUAAAGGAUGAACAAAGGGUUGACAUCCCAUAAUAGAGUUAAAACCAAGAUUUAUCAUGUGAUUCAUGUCAAAUUGUGAAAAGAUUUUCCAAUAUUUUGCAUAGAAUAUUAAUGUAGAUUACUCAUUAGUUUUUUUUGGUUUUUGGCAAGAAAUUAUGUAUUCAAUACUGAACUUCCUCUGUCAAUGUUGGUUAGCAGAUUGAUAGCACUUCUAGCAGUGGAAAGGAAAACAAGGACUUCAAACUAAGGCCAUAGUAACCAGCAAAAGUUGCAAGUAAAAAAUAAUACUUGUGCAGAAAAAUUAUCAAAGUUAUUAUCACCCAACAUAUGU